ensembl:snRNA U2 U2 spliceosomal RNA
AUCGCUUCUCGGCCUUUUGGCUAAGAUCAAGUGUAAUGUCGUUCUUGUCAGUUUAACAUCUGACACGUCAUCUGUGCGAGGACGGUAUGUUAAAUGAAUUUUUGAAGCCGGGCGCUGGACUGGGAGCUUGCUCCAUCCACUCCGCGCAUCGCCCUGGGAUUGCAGUGCUGCCGGGAGCGGUGCCCCCCCU